rnacentral:lncRNA from 1 species
UCACAUUGCGUCUGAAUAAUCCUUUAGUUUUGUGGCAACAGGGUGUUUCCUCUGGUAUUUUGGGGGGUUUCAUUAAGGGCCUGCAAAUGGGCAACGUGCAGCACAGUGCAGAUCCUCCUGAAGUUUGUAAGGAUACCUUUGCGCAUUUAGAGAGCAUAUUUUCUUAUCCUCCAUUCUUAAAGCCUUCACUGGACUUCUCAGAUGACCAGAAAGUUCCGGAUCUAAGCAUAGGUUCUUUACCUGCUUCACCCAUCUUCUUUUGUUCCCAUCUGUAUUGUCUUUUUCGCCCCUCAUUGCUGCUGUUUUGUUGCAGAUGACAUUGAUUUUGAUGAACCUCUUGUUGUCUUGCCCUCAUCAGAGGCAAAUAAGAAAGAUACAAAAUGUUUGACCAAAACCUCCUCAUACUAAGGUAUGUAUUUUAACUUAUGAAUCGUGCUUAAACAAUCUUCUUGUUGCUCUGCAGCUAAAGGAACAGAAAAGGAAAGAUUAUCUGAGGGCGCAUCUUCUGAUUCAGAGCCAAGACUUAGAACAGCUGAAGAAAUUAAAGCUAAAUAUAGGAAGGAGGUAAUCUAUAAUAUGAAUAAUCUCACUGGAUUAAUUUUGCGGCUUAUAUUUUUCUGACAUGGUUGUCAAUUUUCCAAGGAUACUACUGCUGCAGCUGCACAAGCGAAGGACAAGCUUGUAGAACGCCAGGAAAAGCUUCAGGUAGAGUUUCUCGUGGUGUCUUUUUUGUAUAGUUUAUCUCCUAAAAAUAUUCAAGCAGCUUAUCUUUUUUUUUAACCUGUUGCUGUUGUUGUUUCUUUUAUGCAUUUUGUCAAACACUCGGCUUGUGAAUCAUUCAAAAGCAGAUUUUGAAAGCUAAAAUUGCACUGUAUAUGCAUGUGAAAAGUUGCAUUUACCCCCUUGGGAUCAUUUUAAUUGUAUCCUAAGGAUGCAAGUUUAUAGCUCUGAUGAAGAUUAUAUUUUUCAUAUUUUUCACAGAAUUAGCUGCAUUAUUCUGUGAAAAUACCCGAGUCUGAUCAUUUUUUAAUCUCGUCUUAUUUUUCACUUUCCCCUGACCGUCCCCUCUUCGAGAGAAACUUUUCGAUGAGUUGUUAUUUCGCAUAUUGACAAGUGGGACAUGACAAAGAAAGCUACCAUAAUAGCUUCUUGAAGCUCCAAGGGCUAGAAAAUUAUUUAUGUGAUGCAACUAAUGUCUUUAUUAUUUUGUUCAGGCAUGCAUUUUAUCAAAAGAUUUACUGGUAAGUCAAUAAAAUUACUUAAAAAAAAUUAACUUUAAAUAGUUUGUUUCUUUGAAGCAUUUUAUCAAACACUUUACUUGCAAAUCCUUGUGAAGUCGAUUUCGAAAGCUAAAUUUUAUAGGAAACUGCAACGGAAAUGUCUUGACAUUGUUUAAGAAGAGAAAUACAUUAAGUUGAAACAACCUCCUUAUCAACUACAAUCUGUUUCUUCAUUCAAUGAAAUUUAUAUUUGUGACCUUCAAUGAAUAAUCUCUGGAAAUCUUGGCAUAGAAAUAUAAUUUGAGAGAGCUCGAUCCCAAUUAGCAACAAUGUCAGUCAUAGUUGGCAUAUCUCUCCCUUUGGAAGUCACACAUCGAAGUGCAGUCUUGAACACCAACUUCACGGCGUCUUUGUCAUCAAGCACUGGCCGGCCAACCCUACGAUCUAAAACCUCAUGCAAAACCUUAUCCCAAGCCUCAUCAUUAAGUGCGACUGUACCAUCAAGCUCUUGCCGGGCAACCCUAGCAUCUAAAACGUUAUGGAACUUAAUAAUAUUGUUUAUAAAAUACACAAGUUCUCUUGACUUUCCUCGUUCAAAAUCAUAAAACAUAGCUUCCUUUCCGGUCAGUAGUUCUAAUAAUACCACACCAAAGCUAUAGACAUCCGUGUCUGUGGUUAGUACAUCUGAAUCAUAACCAAUAAAACCAUGAGAUAUUUGAGAGUCAGGAUCCAUCAAUGACAAUCCAAAAUCAGAAACUCUUGCUUUCCAGUUUAAAUCGAGCAAAAUAUUAGAAGAUCUGAGAUCUCCGUGAAUUAUCGGUGCUUCUGCAUAUUUGUGAAGAUACUCGAUUCCUCUAGCAAUAUCUAAUGCAAUCUUUAUCCGUAUUUUCCAAAUAUUGAACUCACUACUACUAAUGUUUUCAUGUAAAUGGAAGGACAAACUGCUGUUAUUCAUAUACUCAUAAACUAAAAGUCUCUCGCCGCUGUCUACACAAUAUCCAACAAGCCCAACCAAAUUCUCAUGGCAAAUUCUUGACAAAACCGCUAAUUUAGAUAUAAAUCCAUUUUCGUCCUCUUGAAACCAGCUACUAUUUCCAUUCUCGUCCUCUUGAAACCAGCUACUAUUUGCCCCCCCAAUGUUCCCUCUUUUAAUUGCAACUUCACGACCAUCUAAUUUGCCCCUAUAAACAACACCAACGCUUCCUUCACCAAUCUUGUUAUUUGGUGAGAAGUCAUUGGUGGCAGCUUUUAGCUCGGCCACAGUAAAGGUUGUCCCCCUAUUCUGUGGGACAGACUGGGUUGAAAGUGCGGUUGACUGGGUAUUCUGUGGUGGUUGGAUUGACACAGUACUCAGUGGUGGUGGUGGGAUUGACUCAUUACUCGGUGGUUCUAGUAGGAUUGACUCAGUAUUCUGUGGGAUGGGCUGCCUUAUUUCUGGUGAGUCACUUGGCUGUCUUUGGGAAGGAUUGGCUGUUGCUGAAUACAAUCGAACACAGGCAAAAAGAGUAGGCCACAAAUUUAUCCUGAUAGGAUCAUCGACAUGUCUAGACAAAAAAAUAAAAUAUGCUAUUGACGUAAUAACACAUUCAACUAUAUCACAAAUGAAUUCAAUAUCAGGUUUUCUUAGUAAACACCUCCAUCUCAAUUCAACUCGCCCUUGUCGACGCUUGCAAACAAGCAAAAUGAUUGAAAUGAUGAAGGUUAUGUAAGAAAUUACCAUAUUAAGCAAUCCAUACACAGGGUGUUCCGGGGAAGAUAGCUGACCAAAAAAAACAGUUACAAGCUUGAGGAUGAAGUUGACGAAGAGAAAAAGUCGCUUCAGGGUAAUAGCCUGUUGGAAAAUGCCAAUAUACAUAUAUAGUAGUUGCUGAAAGAAACACACACGCGCGCACACAAAUAUAUAUAACUGAUAAAAUGUAUACGUAUUUAAUUUACCUUCCGAUUGAAAUUACUGCCAAGUUCAUACUCAUUUUCAUUUUCAACAUGUAUGGACACGGAUUCAGGCCUGCGACUACUCGCUCUGUUUCUGAUCAUCUCGGAGGAGAACCACAAAACCAGAAGCAGCUCUCUUUCCUCACUCUUAGAUCUAAGACUAGUAUAAAAAGAAAAAACAAACCAGCAAACCUAAGUGGUUAUAUCUUGCAGAAGAACCACAAAACGAACCUUCCUCAUAUAAUAAAAAAAGUAAAAAGAUUAGUAUAAAAACAAAAACAAAGCAGAAAAAUAUAAGUCAUUGCAUUAUAACUUUUUUAUAAGUGUGGAAACACAGCUUUGAUUGAUUUCUCCGUGUGGACCUGAACUCUAAAGAAAAUGGAUCGAACUCUAAGGUAUAGUCAAGGUAUAAGCAUGCUCAACAACUCUACUAACUUUGAAUUUUGUGUCUGAUGUUGGACAAAAGCUCCAUAUUUGACUAUGGAAGCUUUUCAGGAUACGAAAUUAUUUUCUUCAUUAUUUAUUUCAGGCAUUUUUGUUGAAAUUUUUGGGAAGAAAAAAUAGAAAUGCACAAAAUGAUUAAUAAUGUUUUGCACUUCGUUAAAUUAACAAAAGAAUAUGUCUAUUUAUCGACUUAUAAGUGAAUCAAAUAAGACCUAAAAAUACUCUUAAAAAUUAUUAAUCUUAAUAAUAAAAAUAUCAAAUUUUAUGUAAAAAUAACAAACUUUAGUGGGUACGUUAUGACUCUCUCUCUCCCCGUGUGGACCAAAUGAAUGGGACACGAAGAAGAGUAAAAAAUAAAAGAAAAUGGACCAAAAUUCUACUAAUUUUAUUAUCGACAGAAUUUGGUGUAUGAUAUUGGGCAAAAGCGCCCUAUUUGACCAUAGAAGAGUUGAAAUCAUGAAUUUUCUUUACUUAAUCUAUUUAUUGUUAUACAUAUAUACACAUAAAACAAAAAAAUAAUAAUAAAAAAAUGGAAAUAACCCAUACAGCUAAAUAUGUUCACAGCUAAAUAAGAAUCGAAAUGGGUCUUUUUCAAUUGGAAAUUUUGCACACCCCCACCUUCACAACCUAAUCAGUGAUAUCAACGUAACAUUUUAUCUCAGUCCCAUCAAAUCAAAACUAAAGUUAAACAAUUAAGCAACUGUAAUUAUAAUAUGUUCAUCCCAUUUCUGUUUGGCAUCUUUGCCUUUUAUGGUACAUCAGUUUUCAAGGGAUAUGAAAUUUCACAUCACCUAAAAGUGGACGAAACUACAAUUCUUAUAAAGAUCAAAUCUUAUAUUUUGAUUUCCUCCAAGAUUUCCUUUUUUUUUAAAAAAAAAAAAAAAAAAAAAAAAAAGCAAAGUUAUUCUACUAUAUCAAUUACCAAAUUAAAUAAACCUAAAAAAUAAAUUAAAAAGGAGGUUGUGGUAGGGUUGUUAUCGGAUUAACGACAUAUUUUUCUCUCUAAAAGGAUCUAAAUUUUCUGAAUUCUCUAAUAAAUAAAGUCUGGUUGGACCAAUUAAUGAAAAAAUUUAUUUAACCUUUGGGUUUUUGCCCAUAAACUGCUGAUUUUCAGAUUCUCCUCACUAGAGAUAUUUAUUUUAUCCAACCUAAUCCAGUUGGGUAAAAUUCGAUCAAUUUAUAACUAUGGUGGGUACGGAUAUAUACCAUAUGAUUGAGCUGACCCGAACCAGCCCAAUCUCUUUUUUAGAUCAAGUCUCUCUCUCUCUCUCUCUCUCUCUCUCUCUCUAUCUGGCUUCGUUUUGUUCUCAAAUUAUUGUCGGUGACUUUUCAUUGGUGGAGGAAUGCUCUUUUCAUUGAUUUCUCCACCUAUGUACUGGUUUUCUUUGAUUAAAUUUUAGUUUUAAGGAAUUAAUUAAUUUCCCAAAUUAUAUCGUCCCUUAUUUUCCUUUUUUUUUUUUUUGAAAUAAUUAAUUAGUAUGAAAUAUUAAUUUCUACAAAUUACAUAACUGUUCAUAGUAAAGGUGGCCACGGUUCCGGUUCUAAAAAAACUGGAAUCGGAACCAAACCGAAAAUUUUCGGUUCCGGUUCCGGUACGGUAUUAAAACCGAUGGUUCCGAUCGGUUUUCCAACCGAUUUUUCGGCAAAUCGCAUAAUUUUAAAUUUUAAAUUUUGAAGACCAGUUUUUAAAAUUUAAUAAAUUUGUGAAAGUUAUUUGUAAAAAAAAUACACCUAAAAAAUUAAAAAAUGCUUCAAUUAAAUUUAUUUUUUAAAGACUUGAACUUAAUUAUUUUUAAAAAAAAAUUCUUCAACUGAAUUUAAUUUUUGUUUAAAAAAGUUUGACCAUAAUUUAAAAAAAAAAAAGGGCUUGAACAUAUCUAUGCUCUUCAAUUUUUACAAGCAAAAUAAUGAGACAAAUAACGCACCCAACAAUAAAUGUAAAAUAAAACUUCUUUUGUUUAAACCCAAUUCAAGAAUAGAGAAAAAAAACAGAGUAAGAUCAAAAUAACUAAACUUUGAUGUAAUAAUAAAAUAAAUUGUAUUCCAAUUACGUGUUGGUCUAAUUAGUCUUCUCAUUUAUAUGAGGAAUAAGAGGUUUUGUGUUCGAAUCCUCCGACUACAAUUGUUUUUAUCAAUUUAGUUAGUCAAUGAAAAAAAGUACUCAUAUAAUGCAGCUUAUUUCAGCCCUUAAAAAUCUCUAAUGAAUUAAAAAAAUAAGAUAAGUCUUACCGAAAUAAAUUUAAAUUUAUCUUUUAAGGUGAAAAUUGAUUUUGGCUUCAUCAAAUUGAAUUGGCCAAAUCAGCGGAAGCAUUUACAGACUCGUAUGCAUAAUAAAUGUGUUAGUAUUAAAUUGAAAGACCUAUUAUUAUUGAGUUGGAACUUGUAACAGGAAGAUGUUUGGACAAGAUCCGAUUGAUACUUAAAUGAACUAUUUAACAUGUUCCAUUGCAGAGUAGAGCAUACGUGACCAUAACUCAGCAUUUAUGGCAAUGUCUGGAAAGCAAGGUGGUCCACUAAGUUGCAGGACUUGAUCUUGAAGUGAUGCAUGUACGGAGAUAAUUAUUUUAGAGGAAUCAAAUGAAAUUUUUUAAGUUUUUAGAAGAUUGAAAUGCAACUUUCUGAUAUUGAAAGAUUAAAAUUUACUUAUUCCAUAGUAACAAAUAUUCAUUUUAUAUUAUUAAAAGAGCAAAUACUGCAAUUAAAGUAAAAGGAAGAGAGUAAUUUAUAAUUUCAAUUUCUUAGGUGGCAGAUGUUGGAUUUAAUUUUUUAUUGUGGGCUUAAUAUGUAAAAUUAAAUAUGUACAGCAGUCUAAUUGUAAAGUCAAUUUCAAAUGUGGUCUUGAUUGUGAAUAAUUGACUAUUGAGGUAUCAACUAAUAUAGAUAUUAAGUGUAGAGACCAUUAUAUAAUUCCUAUUUCGUUAAAGGACCGAAAUAGGAAUUGUACUAACCCUACAGGUAUAUAAAGGUCGUGGUCCCCAGAGGAGUUGAAUACGAUUCAGUUUUACGUUCCUUUCAUAGAAGGUUGCUAUCUGGCUGAGUUUUGAAUACAUGUUUGGCAAUAAAUAUGUGAUAAUUGUUUGAUUAUUUUCCAUGACAAUGAUAUAUCGGCCCAAAGGAAGAUUUAUUAUUUGUCAGGACUAUGUUAUCAAUAUUUGAUUGCUGCGUUGAGAUACUAAUUACAAGUUAAUGUUUUACAUCCAAAGAUGAGAAUAUUAAUGUUGUGUCUGUAUCUUAUUUCCAUUUUUGAUCUCUACUUAUGUGAAUUGUUUCAUUUGUGGAUUGUGAGCUUAUACUUAUCUAUUUGUUUAUUUUCUCUGAUGUCAGCUAACAUGUCAUUUAAUCCUGAUUGUGUCCCUAAACUUGAGGGAUCAAAUUUUGAGUCUUGGAAAUCAGACAUUAUGAUCUUUCUGGGCUGUAUGGAUUUGGAUCUUGCAUUCAGGAUGGACGAACCUGCUCCUCUUACUGAUACGAGCACUGAUGUUCAAAGGGUUCAGUAUGAGAAGUGGGAGCGUUCUAAUCGCUUAGGUCUGAUGAUCAUGCAGAAAGGAGUCCCAGAACAUGUUCGAGACUCUGUCUCAGCUGAAAAGAACAAUGCUCAAAACUAUCUUGCCGAGCUGGAGAGGGCUUAUGUCAAGAAUGACAAAGCCGAAGUGGGAACACUUUUAGGAAAAUUAACCUCCAUGAAGUUUGCUGGCAAUGGUGGUGUUCGGGAGCAUAUUCUUAGCAUGUCUCAGAUUGCAAAGAGACUGAAGGCGCUGGGUAUGGCUUUACCAGAUGACCUUUUAGUCCAUUUGGUUAUGAAUUCUCUUCCUUCUCAGUAUGGACAAAUUAGGACUUCCUAUAAUUGUCAGCCGAAUAAAUGGACUCUUAACGAGCUCAUUUCUCAUUGUGUUGAUGAGGAGGAAAAGAUGAAUUCUAACAAAAGAGAGAGUGCUCAUUUUGUUUCUUCAGCUGGGAAGGGCAAGAACAAGAAAAGAAAGAGGCCUUUUGCAAAGACUGUUGAAAAGGCUAUUGAGAAACCUGCUGCUGCUACUGCUGUAGAUCCAGUACAAAAGAAGCCUUAUGUGCCAAAAUGCUUCUUUUGUGGAAAGACGGAUCACUUGAGAAAGGACUGUCCUAAAUUUGCUAUUUGGCUUGCAAAGAGGGGUAAGUACCUUGUUUUAGUCUGUUGUGAAGUUAAUUUAACUUCAGCUCCUAAAAACACUUAUUGGAUGGAUUCUGGUGCUACCGCUCAUAUAAGUGUUUCAUUGCAGGGCUGCCUCAACUACAGAAAGCCAACUGACGGUGAAAGAUACGUCUAUGUGGGAAAUGGCGAUCUGGUUGAAGUAGAGGCAAUUGGACAUUUUAGAUUAUGUUUAAGUACUGGCUAUUUUUUGGAUCUUAUAGAUACUUUUGUUAUUCCCUCUUUUAGAAGGAAUUUGAUUUCUGUUUCCUUUUUGGACAAAUCUGGUUUUCAUUGUUCUUUUGGAGACAGUGUAUUCACUUUAUCUAUGAAUUCAAAAGUUUUGGGUACUGGUUGCUUGAAUGAAUGUGAUAAUCUAUAUAUGUUAGACAUUGAUACUAGUUAUCAUGAAUCCCUGCAUGUUACUACAAGAGGUACCAAAAGAAAGUUGAAUAUUGAUAACUCAGCUGUACUUUGGCAUAGACGUUUGGGUCAUGUAUCCAAAUCAAGAAUUGAGCGUCUUGUUUCUGAUGGUAUCUUAGAUACACUUGAUUACACAGGUUUGGAUUCUUGUAUUGAGUGUAUUAAAGGAAAACAGACUAAACAAAAGAGACUAGGUGCCAUUCGGUCAUCCAAUGUUUUAGAACUGAUUCAUACAGAUAUUUGCGGUCCAUUCCAUAUUGCAGCUAGAAAUGGCCAAAGAUAUUUUAUAUCAUUCAUUGAUGACUAUUCUCGUUAUGGUUACUUAUAUCUCAUUCAUGAAAAAUCUGAGUCUUUGGACGUGUUUAAAUCUUAUAAAGCCGAAGUUGAAAAUCAACUAGGAAAGAAGAUUAAAUCUGUUCGAUCUGACCGUGGUGGUGAAUAUUAUGGUAAAUAUGACGGUUCAGGCGAACAACGUCCAGGACCUUUUGCGCUUUUCCUACAGGAAUGUGGAAUUGUCCCUCAAUAUACAAUGCCUGGUACUCCCAGCAUGAAUGGUGUAUCUGAGAGACGUAAUAGGACUCUUAUGGAUAUGGUAAGGAGUAUGAUUAGUCAUUCUACUUUACCAGAGUCUCUGUGGGGUGAAGCGUUAAAGACAGCAGCUUAUCUUCUCAAUAGGAUUCCAUCUAAAGCAGUUGCUAAAACACCUUAUGAACUUUGGACUGGACGUAAGCCUAGUCUAAAGCAUCUUCAUGUUUGGGGAUGUCCAGCUGAAGCAAGGCCUUACAAGCCGAAUGAAACAAAACUGGACUCCAAAACUAUCAGCAGCUACUUUGUUGGAUAUUCUGAGCGGUCUAGGGGUUACAAGUUUUAUAAUCCUACUUCCAGAACUUUUUUUGAAACGAGAAUUGCAACAUUUUUUGAGGAUGUUGAUUUUGGAGGGAGAAAUAAAGAAAGAAACAUUGUCUUUGAAGAGGAACCAAGUAAGGAUGAUUCGGUUCUCAUUCCUUUUGUUGUUUCUGAUAGCGUACAGACUCCAGUUGCUCCUGUCACUAUUCAAGAUCCAAUUCAAGACAAUGCUAUUCUUCCUCAAGAACAAAUUCAACAACCUCAAGAAUUAGAGCCUGUUCAAAUGCCUUUGAGGAGAUCUACUAGGGAGAGAAGAAGUGCUAUUCCAGAUGAUUAUAUAGUGUUUCUUCAGGAACAUGAGGAUACUGUAGACAUGAUAGAUGAUGAUCCAGUUAGUUUCUAUCAUGCCAUGCAGAGUUCUGACUCUCAUAAGUGGAUUGAGGCAAUGAACGAAGAGUAUAAGUCUAUGCAAGACAAUCAAGUUUGGGAUCUUGUUCAAUUACCUGAAGGAAAGAAACCCAUUGGUUGCAAAUGGAUAUUUAAAACCAAAAGGGAUUCUCAAGGUAAUGUGGAAAGAUAUAAAGCACGUCUUGUAGCAAAAGGCUUUACUCAAAAGGAAGGGAUUGACUAUAAAGAAACCUUCUCUCCAGUUUCUUCGAAGGAUUCUUUUAGGACAAUCAUGGCCUUAGUUGCAAAUCUUGAUCUUGAGCUUCAUCAAAUGGAUGUUAAGACUGCGUUUCUCAAUGGCGACAUUGAUGAAACAAUAUAUAUGGUGCAACCAGAAAAUUUUGUAAUUGGAGAUCCAAAACAUCUGGUAUGCAAAUUAAAGAAAUCCAUUUAUGGACUCAAGCAAGCUUCUCGUCAAUGGUACUUUAAGUUCAACCAAGUAAUUGUCUCGUUUGGCUUUGAGGCAAAUGCUGUUGAAAAUUGUGUGUACCAUAAGUUCAGUGGGAGUAGGUUUAUCUUUUUGGUCUUAUAUGUGGAUGACAUACUUCUUGCUACUAAUUGUAAAGUCUUGCUGCAUGAAACCAAAGUUUUUCUUUCAAAGCAUUUUGAGAUGAAAGAUUUAGGUGAAGCUUCUUUUGUUUUAGGGAUUCAGAUACAUCGAGACCGUUCUCGAGGUAUUCUUGGAUUAUCACAAAAGAGCUAUAUUGAUAAAGUGCUCAAGAGAUUUAGUAUGCAGAAUUCUAGACCAUUGGAUACCCCUAUUGCAAAAGGUGAUAAAUUUAGUAAUCAACAAUGUCCAAAGAGUGAACUUGAAAUUCAGGAAAUGCAAAAGGUUCCUUAUGCGUCAGCUGUAGGAAGUCUUAUGUAUGUUCAAGUUUGUACUCGUCCAGACAUUUCUUUUAUAGUUGGCAUGUUAGGUAGAUAUCUCAGCAAUCCAGGAAUGGAUCAUUGGAAAGCAGCCAAAAGAGUCAUGAGAUAUCUUCAGAGGACUAAGGGACAUAUGCUCACAUAUAGGAGAUCAGAUCAGCUUGAGAUCAUUGGGUAUACUGAUUCUGAUUUCGCUGGAUGCCAAGAUAGUAGAAAAUCCACAUCUGGCUACGUUUUUCUAUUGGCUGGCGGUGCUAUUUCUUGGAAGAGUGUGAAACAAACUCUAGUAGCAACCUCCACCAUGGAAGCUGAAUUUGUAGCAUCUUAUGAGGCAUCCAAUCAAGCUAUUUGGCUGAGAAACCUUGUCACUGGGCUGCGUGUAGUAGGUGGAAUAGAAAGACCACUGAAGUUGUAUUGUGACAGCAGGUCAGCCGUUUUAUUCUCCAACAACAACAGGAGCUCUUCUCGAUCAAAACACAUUGAGAUUAAGUUCUUGGCUGUGAAGGAGAGGGUACAGAGUGGACAGAUAUCCUUAGAGCAUAUUGGAACAAACUCUAUGAUUGCGGAUCCGCUUACAAAGGCAGUGAUACCGAAAGUUUUCCAUGAGCACACCGCUCAUAUGGGUAUCGUUUUGUUUGAGACUGUCUAGUUUUAGUGGGAGUUUGCUCUUUAUGCAUACAUUAUGUUUUUGAAUGCUCUAUUUUAUUUUGGAUAUGUUUUAUUAUGAAAUUUUGUUGAGUACUCAUUUUGGUUGAUGGUUACACUCUGUAUUAUUAUUAUUGUUUUGCUUGAUCUCACUUUUGUUGGUGACCAGUUGGAAACAGACAUGAUGAUCACAUUACAUGUAGUUUUCAUGCUACACUUCUAUAAUGAAUCUAUGUCAUUUAGGGGUAUUGGUAAUGUAGUUGAUGAUGAACUUAGUCAUGAGAUCUAUGGCGAAUGUUUCUUCAGCUCUUUAUCAAUAUAACUAAUGGACGAGAUUGUUUUUGGAUACCUUGUAUGACUGCGUUUGUUGAGCUCAUUUUGGUGUAUGUAUUUUAUUUAACAUAUGUUCGCCCAAGUGGGAGAUUGUUGGAUUUAAUUUUCUAUUGUGGGCUUAAUAUGUAAAAUUAAAUAUGUACAGCAGUCCAAUUGUAAAGUCAAUUUCAAAUGUGGUCUUGAUUGUGAAUAAUUGACUAUUGAGGUAUCAACUAAUUAUAGAUAUUAAGUGUAGAGACCAUUAUAUAAUUCCUAUUUCGUUAAAGGACCGAAAUAGGAAUUGUACUAACCCUACAGGUAUAUAAAGGUCGUGGUCCCCAGAGGAGUUGAAUACGAUUCAGUUUUACGUUCCUUUCGUAUUGCUUCCGCUAAAUCGAUUCUUCAAUUCUCUGGAAGGCUGCAAACCUAAUUUUAUACAUCAAGAUCGACGAACAACGAUGUCAGGUACGCAACCUUUUCUUAUUCAAUCUAUUUUGUUGAAUCUAGUGGUUUGCACGAUCUAGGUUAUUAUUGAAUUAUUUGAGAUUAAUUCUUAACAGCAGAGCCCCUUUGAACCUCCAUUUGAGCUGCGCUCCUACAUGCAAAGGUAAGGUGAUAAUGCUUGGGGAACUAUUAAAGCUUUAUUGCAAUUUUUUUUUUAAGUCAAUGAAUCUGUCUCUCUCUCUCUCUCUCUCUUUUCCAUGUUCAUUUUUAAUGCACUUUCUUGGAUUUGGAGAGCUUGCUGUUGCUUUACCAUUUGAAUUCCGUUGGAAGGUUUGGCUUUUCUAAGCCUUUUUUAAGUGUCAUGCACUAACAUCGUGAUUAGGGUCCGUUAGAGAUAGGGGUGUGCAAAAAAGUUGGGUCUAUAUUUUAUGUCCUUGGUUUGAUUCGGUUUAAACCGAAUCGACCGUUUGCUCACCCCUACGUUAAACACCUUAGAAAGCCAAUUCCACAUAUGAUUCUAACCAUCACUCAUAUAUGAAUAAUGAAUUAAUGUGAACAAAUUCAAAGAAAAUGUGAGUUUCAAUCUCAGAAUAUUCAUUAUGUUAAAUGGAUUUUGUUGUAAAUAUAUGCAAAUAUUCAAAUCAUUAAACCUAUACAGUCAAUUUGAAGAUUGGGCUAGCAAUACAGCAGGGAUAGCCCAUUAAACCUGUACAGUUGAUUUGAAGAGCCAGUGAAGGCCUUGCAGAAAGUAAGAAACUAAGGGCAGAGGGUUUGAAAAGCCCAUAACCUAAGCUACAAUUCUAAAUAAAUUAAAUUAAAAUUAAAUGCAAAUGUAACAAAUGGUGAAUAAUUUUUUUUCUUUUAUCAUGUUUAUCAUAAUUUAACAAACAUGCACACAUAAUUUUAAAAUCUUAAUCUUUUAAAAAAAUAGAAUAUAUUUUUAAGGUUAUUGUGUCUUAGCAUCAAUGUGUUUUUAUUAUAUUAGAAUUUAAAAAAAAAAAAAAAAAAGAUGUUAAGACUUCAAAUUCUAAAAUUCACAUACAUUCAGACAAAAGCCUAUAUUUCUUGCUUGUACCAUAAUUUAUCAAAGCAUCACAGAAAUGCAUUUGCCUAUAGCACAUAAAUUUCUACCAUUCUGAGGAGAUUGCUUUCAUUUUUGAGGCAAAGAGAACCUAGAAUAUAAAAAUAUCCAAAUUUAGCUUUACUAAAAGCAAAGUAUAAGCUUUAGGCUUUUGAUUAUAAUAGCAAGAAACAUGUCUCCCUCUCUCUUACAAAUUUCCUUAAAUUCUUACACUCAUAUUUAAGGAAUAUAGAUCCCAAUUCAGAACAAAUGAAAAAGACGAACAAACUAAAAUAUACACAAGAAAAAAAAAAAAAAAAGAAAAGCCAAGAUAGUUGCAUUGUACAUACAUUUUUGUUUUUUUUUUUUUUUACUUUAUUAAUUUGGAUUAUACAAUUCAAAUUACAAGUAUAUCCAAUUUGUCCAAUUUUUUCAUCUUAGGCAUGUUUUUGACCCAUUACCACAAAAUUUCCAUGUCUAAUAAGCUUCCCACCUCAGUCAAGUAAAGUUGUGGAUGAUGAGAACCUAAAAUUCAAGCUAUAAAAAGCUAAAAAGAGGAAAUUUAGGGAAAAAAUUACAAGAAGAACACAUUUAUAAAGGAAAAAAAUGAAAAGACAAAAAAAAAAAAAAAAAAAAAGGGGGGGGCGGUUCUUCAAAGGUCAUGAGCGAGAAAUGAUACGCGUGUAAAGAAAUUCAUUCCACGUGUCAGGUAAUCCAGGUAAACACCAAUGAAUACAGUCCGCGUAGGUCGCCGGAUCAGCUUGCUGCUCCGGUGUUAGCAUCUUGCCUUGGCGGAUAGUGUAGACUGAGGUAUGUGCAUCUUUUCUAAACUCUGAAAGAGUAGUGAUAUUGAUAAAAUGAACAGGCACUUUCAUUGAUUUUGUCACAUUUGCUGCUAUAACAAGUAACCUCCGGUCUGUGCCCACAUUCAAAUGCCUUGUCGUAUUGAGAACUGGAGUUGUCUCCUUUGCACAUUUUAUCCCAUCUGGAUUAUCCCAAUCCAAGCUCCUAUUAAUUCAAAUAAAUAAAUAAAUAAAUCAAUUUUAUAAAUAUACAAUGAUUAGUGGGUAACCCACCAGAGAUUAUAUACUUACGUAUAUUAUAUAUAUGUUAAAUCAGUACGUACUAAUCAUAAAACCAACAUCAACCACCAAGAAUCACCUAAUAUAUACCUAAUUGCACAAAAAUUUCUUGUCUCCAUUAAACAAAUUUGAAUUAAAAAAUUAAAAAAUUGCUUAUUAGUUAAGUUAAUAGUCCUUGUUGGGCCAUCAAUUUGACUGAUAUUAACUAAGAUUAAGCAAUUAAUAUUAAAAAAGAAAACUCAUAAUAAGAAUUUAAGAAAAGAUAAUUACUUGAUAUGUAGAGGAGACAUGCUACUAAAGAAGACAGUGGUUCGAUUAGCAUCUAUAUUUUCAUCUACCCAUUUAGACCAUGUAUUCAAAACUCUCUGAUAAGCUACCGGCCGUUGGAUCUCAUCAUACUCAGUGGCUCCUUCAUCGAACGACCCACGUCUAAUUAACAAAGAAAAUAAUAAAUGAAAUCAACUCGAAUCAAAAAAAUAAAAAACACCCAAUUAAGCAUAUAUAUACUUACAGAACUUUCAUAUUUGCAGUGUUCAUCCACCAAAUGUAUGUGUUAAAAAUCAAGUAAUCCACAUUUUUCCAAUUAACACCAUGUUUAUUGAUUGAUUCUGGAUUGAUUAUACGGUUCAAAAUACUGUGCAUUUUCGGAUCAUCCGAAUUUGACUCCACAAGAAAUGGGGCCCAAUAGAACUCUAUUGUCGAGUUGUAAUCCUGUAAAACAAGAAUCAAAUCAACUAAUAUCAAAAUAUCAAAAAUGUAAUAUAAAUUAUAUAUGUAUGCUCUUGCUUUCUUGUUUCUUAUAAUCGUAAGUAUGAAAAGGAUAAAAUGAUAUGCAUGUGACGUAAUUUUGCAUGGCCAAUCACAGUCUUCGUGAAGUUAUAUAGUAAGGAAAAGUAAUUAGGGAUAUAACAAAUCGCUAAUCUAAGUAUUAAUUACUCAAAAGAAAAGCUAGAAAAAGUAAUGAUUCCUUUCAUUAAUGUUAUCAUUAAGAGCAUAAAGAUAAUUAACACUAAAAUUAAGAUAAAAAAUUAAAAGUGGGUACCUCCAUAGUGAAAAUAGCAAGAGAACCUUCCUUCCUCCAUGUCUUCCUACCAGGAGGAAUCACAGAUUGAACCAAACAAAUCAUUGAUUCCCAUUGAUUUCGGUUUAAUGAGUCUCCAACAAACAUAAGCCUUUUAUUCCUUAGCCUUUUUAGCAAUGCCCUUGGCUUGUACCUUUUAACACAAACAAAAACAAAAUCUGGUAAAAACCCAUUUCAAGAAAAGGUCCAAAAACUUUUCAAGAAUCUAUCAAAUUAACCCUAAUUUUUUCACCCAAAGCAAGAAAAUACUCUAACCGCGUACAUAAAAAUAAAAUUUUCAAGAAUCUAUCAAAAUGAUACCCUACUUUCUAAUUUUCGACUUACUUUGGCAACGAACAAUCUCUAGGUUGCCAUUUCCAUUUCUGAAACAAAGAAUCUUUUCUUCCAUUUCUAAGGCAAGUCACUUGUGCAGUAAGGAACUCACAUUCAUCUUCUUUAUACAAAGGCCUUGUCUCAUUAUCAAAAACCCAUUGCCCUGUAAAAAGAUCACAUUCUUCUGGUGGCAAUUCAAUGUCAUCUUCUUCUUCAUCUUCAUCAAUUACAGGCAACUCAAAUUUCUGUUCAUCGUCUUUAACUGCAGCAAUAAUGGAAUUAUUGGGAUUUUUAUCAGAUUCUCGAGUUUCUUGAUCGUGAGGUUCUUCAAGCGAAGUUCUUGAACUUAAAGAAGAAACGGUAGUUUCUUGAACUGAAUGUUCACGUUUUAAUGGCUCUUCUUGAAUUUCUUGAUUUUUAGGCCAAGAAAAUGGAAAUUCUGCCAUGGACUUAACGUCUUCAUUAUACAUGAAGACUCCAAAGAGAAAAACAGAGAAAACCACAACAAAAACAGAAAGAUUGUUGCUUUUCUUGUGCUUCAUGGCUACCGUGACAGAGGAAAACAGAGGACCUGCUUUUCUUUUCGAUAGCUGCAUUAGACAAGUGGAAUUGAUGAGAGAAAAGAGGGGAGAGAUAUGGAAAUAUAAAAGAACAACAUUGAGCAAGAUAAGAAAAAGACUAAUAGAGAGAGAGAGAGAGAAAAAGUUAGAAACUUACAAUAGAAUUAGGGUUUUUUUCUUUCUUUAAUUUUGUGUUAGUUCAAUAUGGAUUUGGUGAGAAGGGUUUUUCUUCAAGAAACUGCAGAGUUAGGCUACUGGUGGAGGGAGAGUUGUCUUUCUCAAUUUUUUAUUUAUUUAUACUUUUUGUUAACUACUUGCCUUGGAACCCUCUCUUGUUCCAACAGUUUCUUUGAAAGGGUGAGAAGAGUGAUUUCAAAGUUUAAGUUGGUCUUUGUCUAAGAAAAUUUUGUAACAAAAAAGGGACGUUGUGGUUGAUGGUAUAUAGUAAAUAUGGUAGACCAUACGUUAUUUUCUCUUAGAUGUCAAUUAGGAAUAACCAUCAAUCUAAGAAGUAUGUACAUCAAAUGGUUAAGUGUCUAUAUCUGAGAUGGGUGCAUAUAAGAAGUAUGUACAUCAAUCUAAUAAAACUGAAUUAUCAAUAAAAUCAAAUUGAACCGCAUUGAUUCAAUUUUUUUUUUUAGAUUUUAGAAUAUUUUUUGGAUAAAUCAAUUUGUAUUUUUAAUUUUUGCUUUAAUAAAAAAUGAAAUAGAUCAAAUUGAAUUAGUUGAUUUUAAAGAUUGUUAUCCAGUUGUAUAGAAAAUAUAAAAGAUUAUCAAGGUGGUCAAACCUCACCAAAUCAUCACUUCAAGUGUCAAUGUUUAAAGUUGGUGCAAAAUGAAAUUAAUAAAAUUAUUUCCUUAUUUUUAAAAUUAUUGAACCUUCUACCUUAUAUAUGAUCAGAAGCAUGUGGUACUUCUUUGUCCCCAACAACUAUCAAUUUAAGUCCAGUUGAUGCAUUAUUAAGUCUCUUUUUAUUAAUUAAUUAAUGAUGAAAUAUGGUUUUGAGGGGCCAAAUAGUAAAAAACCCAUAUCCAAAUCAUUAGUAACUUUAUGUUUGAGAAAAGUAAAGGCUAAGAAAACCCUUUUUAUCCUCUACUAGUGACUACACAAACAUGAUCAUACUCUUCUUGUGUACUUUGUUCUUUCUUUUCUGGUUGCUACAUCACUUUUUUUACAAGUUAAGGCAACUGUAACACACUGCUACAAGGUUUCCUUCAAAAGAGUCUUUAAUGGAGAUAUUUAUUACAGUCUGUUUCUGAUUCUUAUAGCUACCCAUUUCUCCAACUGUCACAAUCAAUUGCUUCUGUUAUUUCUGUUGCUUUCAGGGUCUAUUAGACUGAACUAAAUCUUGUUCAUAUUGGUUCACUCUAUUAAGGGUAAAUCGUUUUAAACGAAUAUUUGCUUUAUUCACGAGAAUCAAACCCUCGGCCUCAAAAAAUAUUGUUUUCAACGAAUAUUUGCUUCAUUGAUGUAGGUUUUCUUUAUUUAUAAAAAUAGACUUGAGUUCAUUCCGUUGGUAGCAUAUAAUUACUUUCAAUUUGAAGAAUAUUAACAUAUGCAUGAUAAGUUUCACUGUUAGCUAGGCACAAGAUAGUGAAAAUAUUGUGAUAUUCAAUUUCAUGUAUAAAAAAUUCAAAAUGAUUUGAAUAUCACAUUCAUUUAACACAAACCCAAACAAUAAAAUUAAUAUCUUCCGUCUGUUCACUAGUCAAUCCUAAAAGCUGGACAUCAUCCCGAAAUAAAAAAAAAUAUAUAUAUAUAUUAUGAGGGAAAAAAGAAAAAAUACCAAAAGAAAAAGAAAAGGCAAAACAACUAAAAAGGAAUACAAACAUUAAUAUAGAAGUCAUAAAUUAAAGAACAAAAGAUUAACUAAGAAAAAGAAUAUGGGACAUAAAGAUAAACUAGCUAGAAAUGCGGUACUUAUCAAGUGGGUCUUUGAAGAGGAGAGGCUCAUGAUAAACUUUCCAUGCAUAAUCCUCAAAAGAAAAUGAGCUAAACAAUCUCUCUUCUUUCUUGCCAUGUUCUUCAUCUUCUUCUUCCCUAAUUUCAUUUCCAUUAUCGUCAUGGUAGCCAUUAACUGUCUCAUCAGGAAGAAGAGGAGAGACAGUGCUUUCUGUAGGAAGAGUCAAAAGUAAUGUCAUUGAUAUGCAUCUUGAACUGUUGCCAUCUCCCAUACAUGCCAGUGGUCUUCCUCUUACUUUCUUCAAAUUUCCAUUGCUCCACACCUAUAUAUGAUUUUGUUAAUUAAUGAAGGAAAUCAAAUAUUUUUAAAAAUUAAAAUAAAUCAUUUUUAACUAAUUAACUUUGAUUCAUUAAUACAGGAAUCAUCUGUAUACAACCUUAUAUAGCGAGUUCGAAUCUCCAUCAGAAACCAAAUAGUAAGCAUUCUGUUUUCUUCUAGUUGACGAAAGCUUUGAAUUAUUUAUGCAUCCUCGUUAAAAACAGAGGCCUUGUGUCUCAUAAGGACAGCUGGGCCUAUACAUAAAUAUCUACCGCCUAAAUUUUUUGAAGCGCAAAAAACAUUGCAUUCAUCAUUUGGCUCAAAUUUUCAAAACUUACUUAUUAGGUUACAAAAAAGCUGGAGCCCAAAAGUUCGAGCCAGAUGCCAUUCUUGUGGAAUCCCUUAGCUAUGCCGGGUCCACUUUGACCCAUGUCUGAAAGAGCUCUGUGGGUAAUACUAAUAAUGAUUUUAUUAUUACCUUAUCCUCUUAAAGAAGAAAUAAAAAACAUUAACAAAAUGUCUAUUUGUAUACGUAAAAUCUUUUUUUAAUAUAAAAAUAAUCGUGUUUGCGUUUCUAUAUGUGUAAUCUCUUCAUAAAUUUUAAAUUUAAUCUCGUAAAAAUAAAACGGUUUGGUUCAAACCUAUUUUACUAUUUGAAUCAUUUCGUUAAUCAAAAGGAUUAUUAUUGAAAAAAAGUUGUAAAAUAAUUCAUUUUUAUAAAAUUUAAAAUUAAAAUUCAUAUUAGCUCAAAUUUCUAUAUAUACUCUUACUAAUUAAUAUUUAACAAGAAAAAGCAAUUAAAAGAUUUUCCAUAUAUACUCCUACUAAUUAAUAAUUAACAAGAAAAAUAAAUUAAAAGUUAAAAACUAAAAACUCACCUGAGCAAUAUCGCCUACAGUAACCAUAACCGAGUCCACUUGAGGUAAAACAGCAACCCAACCCGAAUCCGCAAGCAAUGAAAAUUUCUGGAUCCGGAUUUGAUAUUGUAACCCGACUAUAUAUGGAUAAAAACCACCCGAUAUUGCAGGUUUAUCCUCAGCAUAUGAGCCCUCGUGCACCACCAUCAAAGAACAAAUCUGGGUCGGAUCUUCCUUUAACGGGUUCUCAAACCCUGCCGCACGAGAAAGCAUUUCAAUUAUUUCCAACCCAACUUUCUCUAGAGACCGAGUUAACUCACGCAAAGAAGAUAAACUCAACUCCGCUGACUCGGUUGAAAACUCUGCGUCCAGCCAAAACGACUCGCCGUUUCCAUCUUCAUCGUCUUCAAAACCUAGAGGCCAGUUUUUAGGGAAAUACGAUCCCUUUUGAUCUCUCGUAAGCUUGAAAAGAGAGAGCGAUUCUGAUUCGGAUGAGUUAACGAGUUGAGAAGUAAUAUUGUGAUCAGUCAGUUGAAAGAAACCAUCUUGAGAAGAGGCAGAGAGAAGAAGGUCAAUAGAGUUUGGGUCGGAGAGGGAGAUAAGAGAAGGAGAAGUAGGAGGAGCGGAGCGGCGAGUAGGAAGGGAAAGCUUAGGAGGGAGGCGGUGGAGGAGACGGGAGAGGGCGUCUGCGGCGGCGGAGGAGGAUAGUUGGUUGCCGUUUGGUUGCGAUGACGGCGUUGGUGGUGGAGCUGAGGUGGCGCUGUACAUGUUUGGCAGAUGCUGCUGUCGCUUCUCAGCUGAAGAAGCCAUUAAUAAAUAAUGGAGAGCAAUGUGGACAGUUGAUUACAGUGGUGCGUGCAUAAAUAUACAGAGCCCGCGCAUGUAACACGUGUGUGUUAAAAUUUUAGAUAUCACACGUGUGUGUCAAUUUUAGAUAUGAUUUUUUUUUUUCAGGAAAGAUUUCAUAUAUGAUUAAUUAAGGUUGUAUUGUUAAAUAUUUCUAAUUGGAAAAAAUUCAAAUUAUAUAAGUUUAAUUGGAAAUGGAGUUUGAUUAUUAAGAAAUAGUAAAAUAUAAUUGAGUGUAACAAAAAAAUUCAAACAAAAUCGAAAAUUGGAUAUCUAAAAAUAUAUCUAUGGUGAAAAUUGAAUACGAACAAAUAACAAAAUUAUACUUAUAUAUAAAAAAAGGUAUAUAAAUAUUUUUAAAAAUAUAAAAAAAUUUUGGUAUAAAAAAGAGGCGAAACUCAAAAGAAGUAACUAUAAACACAGUUUUUUAUUUUAUUUUAGAGCUUAUUCGAUAAAGUUAAUUAAUUGCUUUAAUAAUUAUUACUUAUUAUAAUUAUAUUUGUCGGUAUUUAAUUAGAUUUUCAUCUGACAUUAAAGAUGAUAAUAUUUAAUAAUCUACUUUCAAACUCUAAAUACUAUUACACUAAUAAAUCGUUCCAUUAAUAAUCGAUCCAUUCAGUUUUUUAGCUGCCAGAUGGCCGAGUUUAAUAACAUCGUUAAUUAGAACAGGAGGAAAAAAAAUACCACUUCACAUAAAUUAAAAAGACUGUUACAUUAUUCAUAUUUAUAUAUAUAUAUUUUUAAUUUUUGGUGUUCUUUAUUUUUCUAAAAUAACAUCAUUGAUUAAGAGUAAUCACACAAUGGAACUGGCAAAACAUUAAUGUGAGUUAAAUUACAUUUAAAAAUAUGGUAAUUUGAUAAAAAUAGAAUAUGUAAAAGAUGAGAUACAUGAAUUACAAUUAAAAUUGAAAUUGGAGAUUAAGAGAUAAUAGAUAAAUAUGGAAAGAAUAAAAUUAUUUCCCCUUUAAUAAAUAUCUUAUUUUUGUUAAAUUGUUAUACCAACUCAAAUUGACCUGUUAUCACUAUUUAAUCAUAUAAUUAUUUUAUUAAAUUAAUUAUACCUAAUUGAUUUAUUCCUCGAGUCAUUUUUAUACCUAAAAAAAAAUCUAUCUUAUACGUGUCAUAAAGUAAUAACGACACGUUGUAUGUUGCAAUUCAAUUUGCAACUAUAAAAUAUGGAAUCACUUUAUUGGUAUUCUAAUACUAUAAUUUUUUAUUGCACGCCCAACCUGUUUAAGGCUGUGUGUAAGAGUUGAAAAUAAAAUUCAAAAGCAUUAAGGCACAGUAAAAUAAAAACAAUAUUUUUUUUUAGUCAUCCGUAUUUAAUAUUCACUGAUUUAAUCAAUCUGGAUUCACAUCAGACAAGUUAAUAAAGAAUAAACACCAAUUCGGAUUCAUGUGAAGCAAGUCUAUAAAGGGUGCAAAUAUUCAAAUUCAUUGGUUUAAUUCAUCUAGAUUGACGUUGAGUAAUUCUAUAAAAUACAUAAAACAUUAUCUUCCGAGUGUUUAAGAGUCAUUUAUGUCUAAGAUUUCUAGUUAAAGAGAAAGACAUCUCUUUCAUUUCAUCUCACCAUUCGAAAUCAUAAAAAUAUUAAUUAUUUUAAAAAAAAUUAUUGUACUUAUAAUAUAUAAGUCUACAUUAGUAUAUUUUGAUAUGUGAGUCCAUAUAAAGGGUUCAACAUCUCACGUCAUUGCGGGAUACUAUCAUCAAUGCUAAUACCUAAAAUAAGUAAAUAAAUAAAUUAAUUGUAAAUGUGUUGAUGCAAAUUUUCGGCUUGAUUAACGCUUUGUAGUUUGAAAAUUACUAUCAUAUAUAUUGAAAAUGGUUGCUUUAUUCCCAUUUUUUCUUAUUUUCUUUUAAAUUUUUAAAUAUGUUAAAAGUUAAAAUUAAAAAUGUAAUAUCAUAUAUUAUUUUUUAUCAAAAAUAAAGCAAAAUUGAUAAAAAAUAAGCAUUUAUUCUAUCAUAUUUGAAUAAUCACAAUCUUAUCUAUAUUUUUUAUUAGACACACAAAAUGACAAUGACAAAUAUAAUUAAGUUUUCUUUAUUGUUUUUUUUUUAUUUAUAGGCCAAGCCAUGAAAAUGAAACAGCACCUAUACGAAACACAUGGGAGCUGCCAAAUUAGAUUGGCAAGGAUUGACGAUUAUAAUUAAUUAAAUUAGGUUUAGGAUAUUCAAAUUUUCAUUACUUUAAUAAUUGCAUAAUAAAAUCAUGUGAAUUCUCAUAAUAAAAAAUAAUACACGCAAUACUAACUUUUCAAAUUAGCUCCGAUGGAUGGUCUACAGUCUCUAUACACCUGUGAAGUUUCUAUUUUUUUUUGCUUUUAGAAUUUAUAGAAUUUUUAUUUAUUUUUUUAUAUUUUGAUUGGAUUACUUAAAAUAUUUUUUUUAAGUUUAAGAAUUACUAUUUAUUUAUAAGACUUGUGAAUUUAAAAAUCUAACGAAACAGUAUAUACAUUUACCAGUAAGCUAUGCCUUGAUGUGAAAAUAUUUAGCCAUAUUAAUUAUAUAUAAAUUAACAUUAAUGGAAAAUUUAUUGUACUACACUACUAUCUUUUAAUUAGUUAUUAUAUUUAUUAUUUCGAGAUAUUUAUCUAAGUUUAAAUUUAGUAUUUAAUUUUAUAAUUUAUAUCCAAUGUUUAUCUACCUGUAUAUAUUUAGUAUCUUUCUCUCUAUAUAUAAUAUCUUUCUAUGUCUAUAUUUAUAUCUAAAUCUAUUAUUUUUUUUGAAUGUUAGUUGCAUAUUGUAUACUCCUUGUACUUGCUUACGAUAUAUUUUUUUCAUAUAUAUAUAUAUAUAUAUAUAUAUAUUGUUUAUAUUAAUUAUUAGGUCAAUAAUUAAAAAGAAAUUUCAACUUUAAUACUUUUUACAAUUUUUGCCAAUUUUUUAAUUUUAGAAAUUGACAGUUUUAGGGUGUAUUUUAUUUUCAUAAUAAUUGUAGCCUGUGUAUAACUAUUGUCUAAAUCAACUAACAUGACUAUUAAAAUUAAUAAUGUUAACCCUUAUAUGAUGAUCAACACCGAGGAUUGUUGCUCAGUUGAUAAAAUUAAAAAAAAAUUAACCAAUAUUGAAAAAAAUAUCAAAGUUGAGAAAUUCUUUAUUAUUUAACCAAUUAUAUUUAUUUAUUGUUGCUCAAUCCUUUUAAGAAUGGAUGUAAACAAAUCGAACUGAAUUGGAUUUGUUAAAUUCAAGUUCAACUCAAUAACAAUAUACUUAGACCUCAAAAAUUAAGUUAAAGUUCCUGUCUUUUAAAUUUGUAAUUAUACAAAAAAAUAUAUUUAUAGCAUUAAAUUUUUAUCAUUGAGUAGGCUUUUGAAGUAAUUCGACGACUUCAUUCAAAAGUUCAAGCUAGAUUUAUUUAUUAAAUGAACUUAAAAAUUUUAAAAUUUGAACUUAACAUGUCAAUUCAAAUGAAAUUUUCUCAAAUUAACUAGCAAAUUGAUUCAUUUACAACUCUAAGUACGAGUAGAUAGAAUUUUAGUGAUAUUUCUUUCCUCCACUCGCAUUGCAUAUCAUCUAUAUCUACAUAAUUUUUACUCUUUCAUUUCCAGGCUUGUCCCUUGGGUCCAAUUCUAUGGGCUUUUUUUAUUAAUUUGGCCCAAAUAUGCCUGGGCCUGGCGGUUCAUUAACUUUGCAAUAGGCUAAAACCACCACCUAUAUAACCCAUUGUUUCGGGCAUAUCAUAUAUAUGAAAGAAAUACGGUCGUUUAUGACUCAUGACUCAUGAGAAUCCACUAGUUCUGUCGUUUAUGUCGUACGGCCAUUUCAGAAAUGCUAUACGAACAAAACGACAUCUUCGGCAAAAUGAAAUGGGCCCCACACACACUCUUUUAUUAACAACUAACAAACGACCAGUCAUCAGCUUCGCAUCAAAAAACCAAAACAAAAGCAAAUGAAAAUCUGGUGAUCAUCAUCUUCAAUUUCAUGAAAUAAAUGCAAUUCCAAGCGAGAAACAGAAAGGAACACUUACUCCUCGUUUCACCAUGCUCGCUAAGUUAUUUCACAAAAACACCGACGAUCAGCCACCGUCAUCGGCAGCGGCUGCUCAGGUGACAAUCGUUAAUUUCUGAUAUAAUUAAGUGGGGGAAGAAAAUGAGACAUUUUAAUGAAUUUAUCAGAAAUUAAUUCUUCAAUUUUGUUUGUGUUUAUUGAUGAAGAUUUUGAGACCUGAAGAUAUAAAUCCACGUAUUGAUGUUCACUAUGGGAUUCCUGCCACUGCUUCUAUUAUAGCUUUUGAUCCUGUUCAAAGCCUUUUGGCUGUUGGAACUCUGUAAGUCUGUUUAUUUUAAUUUUCUUAUUUAGUUAGUUAGGAAAACCAACUUCAACUUUUUAAGCUGAGUUCUUCUUUUUUUCCUUUUUUAUGGUUUAAUUUUCCUCCCUACUUGCUGCAGAGAUGGUAGGAUAAAAGUGAUUGGUGGUGAUAACAUUGAAGGGCUUCUUGUGUAUCGUAAGCAAAUACCUUUUAAGAACUUGGAGGUGUGUGAGCACAAAACCAAUUACCUGUUUGAUGGAUUCUUGUUUCUAUUUUUGGCAAUUUUCUUGUAUGUUUUGCUUUGCAAUUUUAGUUAUUUCCUCUGAAAUCACAAGCAGAAUCCUCCUUUAAGAGGAGUUUCUAGUAUAAAAUUUUGAGGUUGUUAGUUGAAUAUGACUAAGGGGUGCCAUUUGUAAUUGAUUGCUCCGAGUAAUAAAUUAUCCACAAAUAUCCCUUGUUGAAGCUCUUGAAUAUGGUUAAGUGAAGCUUCUUGCUAGUUAUGAUUAUGUGCUUCUUAGUUUGGCAAUUUUGAGUACAAUAUACUGAGCUUUUUUUUGUACAUUUUACAGUUCCUACAAAACCAAGGUUUCCUAGCCAGCAUCACUGCUGAAAAUGAGAUUCUGGUAAUUUCAUUCGUUGAAGAUAUGGUUGUUGAACACUGUUUUACUGCUAGCUAUUAUUUGCAUUCUUGUUUCAUGUCUUUAGCAUCUGUAUUGAUUUCUCUUUGUUUUGCAUUUUUUAAUGAGUAUUUUUACCCUCACUGACUUAUAUGAUUGGUUUAUUAACAAUUUUUUGACAUUGGCAGGUGUGGGAUUUAGAGCAAAGGCUACUGGUUUCUACUUUGCGAUGGGAGUCAAAUAUAACAGCAUUCUCUGUUAUUUGUGGUCUGAGUUACAUGUAUAAUACCUGGAAAUAAUAAUAUUAUAUAGUAUUCCCACUUGGGAUUUGACUUUAUUGACUGCAAAUGCAUGUGAAAUUUUAGUAUAACUCGAUUGAUAAACUUUGUCACAUCAUCACUUUAGGUAUGUCGGAGACGAGUAUGGGAUGGUGUCUGUGUUAAAAUAUGAUGCUGAAGCCGCAAAAGUUGUACUACUUCCAUAUUAUGUUCCUGCAGAUUCAAUAGCUGGUAAUUAUUUCAUUUAUUUGACUUGUUUGAUUAAGUUUGAAUAGAGUGCCUCCCCUUCAAAUUCAAUGGGUGUCUUCAUUUAUCAGUACUUCAACUUCAUUCAAGUAUCAGUUUUCAGAUUAAUUCCUUUUAAAUUGAUGAUUAGUUACUGGUAAGGUUGUGAUUUUCAUGGUACAAUGUGGCAUGGUGUUAAUUUUUGUCUUACUUUGUAGUCACCUCGUUGUGUACAUGUGCACAUGCGCUUACCUGCUUAUUUCUGUAUUGUUACUUGGUCUCACAUUUUUGUUUAAUUUCACAGAAGCAUCUGGGAUGUCCUCCCCUAAUCAUCACUCUGUUGUUGGACUUCUCCCUCAACCUGCAUCUCGAGGAAAUAGGCAAGACAAACUUCUUUUCAAUGUUUUUCUUCCCAAUAUACAAAUAAUAUUUUCCUGGUUUUUAUAAAUUUGACUGAUUACAAUUUAUCUACUAGCAUUGAACAUAGUAAUCUUCUGAGAUAAUAAAUAUCUGCAUCUAGAGGCAUAUGGGACUGGAUACUGCUCUUUAAGCUAACAUGUGACUCAAUAAAUGUGGACUGGUAAUUAUGCUAUUGCUUUAGAAAAAGUUUUGUUGAAGCAGGUUCUAUAAACAGAGAUUCAGACUACACAGACAUACACAUAUCAGAAGAAUUUCUGUCAUUUAUCUUGUGUGUGUGUGUGUGUGUGUGUGUGUGUGAUGUUGCACGCAUGUCCCUAUAUAUAUAUAUAUAUAUCCAUAUCUGGAUACUUUUUCUGGGAAUGCACCCAUAUUAAUCUUCUUCUUGAUGCACUUCAAAGAAUUUCUAUCCUUUACAGGUUGUUGAUUGCAUAUGAUGAUGGAUUGAUUAUUCUCUGGGAUGUUUCUGAAGAUAAAGUUAUUCUAGUUAAAGGCAAUAAAGAUCUUCAAUUGAAGAGUAAAACACUGGCUGGUUUUCACAAAGGCAUGGGAAAUAACCUUUCUGAUGAUAUAUCAGAAUAUGAAAGGGUGGAGAAAGAAAUAAGCUCUCUGUGUUGGGCAUCUACUGAUGGCUCAGUUCUGGCUGUUGGUUAUGUUGAUGGAGAUAUAAUGUUGUGGAACCUAUCAGCUACUGCUUCUGCAGAUGAGAAAGCUGAAAAUUUAUCAAAGGAUGUUGUUAAGUUGCAAUUAUCUUCAGCCGACAGAAGACUCCCAGUUAUUAUUUUGCAUUGGUCUGGAAAAGGUUCAAGUGAUGAUUGUCGUGGUCAACUUUUUAUAUAUGGUGGAGAUGCAAUUGGGUCUGAAGAGGUUCUAACGGGGGGGAUUUCCAACUCAGAUUAGGUUACAAUUUUUGAAAGCUAAUAUGUUCUAAUAGAAAUCAUCAGGAAGUGUGCCUUAUAUCAGUUAUUUGUGGCUACCUAAAAUCCUAAGAUGAAUGCUAAGGAAUUUAAUUUCAUUGGGGAAACAGUUGCGGAGUGUAAUUUGAGGCCUAAUAAAAAAAAUACAAAUCAUUGUCAUUUUUCAAAUUUUGAUGAGAGAUUUUAGAUGCAGCAACCCUCAGAUGCCAAAAAUCUCUUACACAUUUCAUCAAACAAUUCAUAAGCUUUAUAUAUUUUCCUUUCACUAGAAUACUCAUUGAUCAUGGAUUAUACAACUAGGAAGCAUCCCAUCAAGCUGCAUCUUCUUCUACAACUCAAAGCAUUUAAGCGCUUUCUAGAGAAGGCAUUGAUCUUAACUGUACAACUAUAUUGAUUAGAAACUGAACCUGGUUGAAUGGAAAAGAGCUUGCUCUCUAGAGCAGGAUUGAACAUAAAGAUCAACUAUUGUCUUGUAAAGGAGGGACUGAUUGUUGGGCUUUGAUUAGGUUAGAGAUGGAUUAUUUUAGAUGGAAGAAAAGAGAUUGACUUGGUGAAGAAGAGGAGAUUUGAUUACAUUAGUUAGAGAAUGGGAGAUUCAGUUUGAGGUUUAGCAUCUAAUGGUGAUAUAGAAGAGAGGAAGCAGGAGUGGGGAAGAGAGAGGGGGAGGGAAGAGGGAAAAAGAUAGGAAACAACAAUUUAAAGUGUUUUACUUAAUAAACUUGAUCUGUUGGUUAAAUUGCAACUAAUCUGGCUAAAAUUCUUGUAAUUUUAAAGGUUUGGACAAAAUUGGAAAAAAAUAUAAGGAUUUUUAUUUUUUGGUUUAUUAGGCCAUAAUUUAUAUCUGAAUUUGUCUGAGGUAUAAGGAAAGGAAGUCAUUUAACCUGAAUGGAAAUCAGUGUAAUACAGCAUAAAAGCUUUUGCGUACUUUCCUAAUAUGCCAAUGUGGUAUUCUGUUUACACAAUUUUCUUCUGUGCAUAUUUUGUUUUCUAUAUUUAGUUAGUGUUUUAUAAAUUUCAAUGUUGUUAUAGUCGAUUUCAGUACCCGUGCUAGUUUUUCGCAUCUGUUGUGGCAAGAUUUUAGAUUUCUCAUUAAUUUAAUAAUUAAAUCCAACAAUUAGUCUCCUAGUCAUUUUGUUUUUAAAUUUGUUCAGCUUUUUUGAUGUGCAUAUUCUAUUAACAAUACGUCUCUUACAGAUAAUAAGCAUUGAUUGGUCUUCUGGGAUAGAAACCAUUGAGUGCAUUGGGCGCAUAGAUCUUACUCUUAAUGGUUCUUUUGCUGAUAUGGUUUUAUUACCAAGUGAUGGUGUUAGCAAAACCAAAGGCACCUUAAUAUUGACAAAUCCCGGACAGCUGCAUUUCUAUGAUGGUGCUUGCUUAGCUUCCUUAAUGUCCCAGCAACAGAAACAAAAUUCUGUUUCUUCAGUGCAGUAUCCCAUGGUCGUACCAAUUGCUGAACCAUACAUGACUGUGGGAAAGCUGGGUUUGGUAAAUGGAGUUGGGCAGUUCUCAAAGGCUCUUUUUAAGGUAUGCCAUUCUUUUCUUCAUUCCUCAUUGCUGCACUAUCAGGCAGUAGACAAUCAUGCCUCAGAGGCGGGCUAGGCUUAGAAGAAAAUGAAAAGUAUUUUCAACUUUCGUGAUGUCUUAUUUUGCAUUCUAUGAAGUGGGAAAGAAGUAAAGUUGUUUUUUGCAAAGUGGUCAUUUAAUUUCUACUUUCCUUGUAUUUUUCCUAAGAAUCAUUUUCUUGCAAAAGCUUCCCAACUAUCAAUUGGAGUCUUGAGUUAUCUUGUUGACUGGUUAGUUUCCACUCCAAAAGUACAAGUCACAAGUUCCAAUAAAUCUUUGUUUUCUAUUAUAUUGGUAUAUUUAGUAAAGUUGUUUCUCCCACCCUUUUGGAAUUUUUCUAUUAGAAAUUUUCUGCUGCAAACUUCAGGUAGCACAUACACCAAGAAUUAUGGAUUGGCCUUUGACUGGUGGUGUUCGUAGCCAGCCUCUUGAUGCUGAAAAUUAUCAGGUUGAGAGAGUAUAUGUAGCAGGUUACCAGGAUGGAUCUGUCAGAAUAUGGGAUGCCACACUUCCAAUUUUUUCACUUGUUUAUGUUUUGGGGCCUGAGGUUAGUACUUUGUUACAGGUGAAAGGUUUCAAUAUUGUGGACUCACUAUCUUUGCUUCUUUGACAAUAUUGAUCAAAAGCCCAAAUUUUCUUUUAUGGACAGGUGAAAGGUAUCAAUAUCGAUGGUGCAAGUGCAUCAGUAUCUACAUUGGAAUUAUGCUCGUUCACUUUGACUUUAGCUGUUGGCAAUGAACUUGGUAUGGUAAGACUUGAAUUUUGCAUGUGUGCCUUGUUUUUUACGGUUUUCAAGAUUUGAUGCUUGUAGUGAUUGUAUGUCUAUUUGAGAGUAUGUAGGUUCAUCUAUAUAAGCUGACGGGGAGUGCAAAUGAGACAAGUUUGCACAUUGUCAAAGAAACUGAAAAGGAAGGUAUCAUAUAUCUUUGAAUUUCUUUGCAUUGGAUAUCAUGUGUCUUUAUUAGUGAAUUUCAUUUAGAAAACAUUUUUAAGAAACUUGAAACCGUUCUGACAAGUUUGGUUUUGAGAACUGAUUGAGGAAUUACUGACCAUGAGAUAUUGGAGAGUUGGUGUUUUAAUAUUCUUAGACAGAUCUAAUAGCUAAAUAAGAUUUAAGUAGCUGUCAUGUCAUGGCACAAUGGUACCAUGCCACUAUGGAGCAUUUAUAGGAUGUCUAACUAAGAGCUACUUUUCUUUUCUUCAUAACUAUUUCCACCAGAGAAGAGUUCGUUGUAUAUCUUGAAAAAAAAAAAAAAAAAGAGAGAAACAGAGAAAGCACUGUACCCAUUUCUUAAUCACUCAUCCGAGCAACCAUUGAAGGUUGGUUGAUCAGCCAUUGAACCUAUAAUUGCCAGUAUAAGUUAUAGAGACUUUGAAGUUAAAUUCAUUAAAAUGUUUGCCAAUAACAUUCAAAAGACAAUGUUGUUCCACACCCAAUGCUCUCACAUAACAUAUUUGGUGCUCUCUAAAUUAUAUUUUUUUGUGAAGAAGUUUAAGAACAGUUGUGAGGUUUCUUUCUGAAGAUUGGAUAAUUUGUGUGUUUAUUUUCCUUCUUUUAAUGUUUGUUUCGGAUUAGCUGGUUCAUCUUACAACAAACUUGAACUAAGCAGUAAGAUUUCAUUGGGGAUUUGUUGCUGAAUUGAGCAUGAAUUUGAGGAAUUUCUUCUUUCCUUUGCCAACAGUUGAUGAUAUAACAACUAGAACUAAUGUAUUUUGCACUGGCGCUAGAUAAGUUGCUAAUUUGUUUGCCAAUGACAUUAAAUCAAAGUUAUUUUGUGGUGUCUGAUGAUAUGUCGACCAACAAUGCAUGACAUUUUUUCUUCUUCUCAUCUUAAUUACUUAUUGGUAAUUGUGCAGUCCACACUUUGCACCAAGGGGAUGGGCCUCAAUGCACAGCUGUCUUUUCCUUCCUCAAUUCUCCUAUAUGCACCUUACUGUUUGCAAGUUUUGGAACUAGACUUGCUGUGGGAUUUCAAUGUGGCACGGUAGGAAUCAUCUGUUUUUUUUUUCCUCUCAUCUCAUUAGUCUUAGCUGAAUUGUCACCUGAUAAGCCAAGAUGUUAAACAAAUGAGUCUGAAGGAGAUUUUUCAAUUUGAUAUUUCAGGUGGCAAUGCUUGAUUUAAGUACAUUGUCAGUGUUAUUUCUUACUGACACUGUACCCAACUCUAGGUCACCUAUUAAGUCUCUGGCUAUGAAAUCGUUUUCCAAUACUGUCAGUGUAAUAAGUAAUUCAGAGGACGUUGAAUCCAAAAGUAAGGCAGAUCAUAUGAAGUCAGAAGUGUUCAUUAUGACCGAAAAUGCACAUAUUGUUGUUCUAGAUGACAAUACUGGCAGGAUAGUCUGCUCUCAAUCAUUACAAUCUGAAAAGGAAUUGACUGUAAUUUCUAUGCAUAUCAUAGGUGGAGAUUUUUCAUCUGGGCAGAGACUAAAUUUUUUUUUCUGCCUUAAAGUUUUUUGUGGAUUUCUGAGAAACUGUCUAUGCAGAGAGUGGCAGCCAAAAAUAUUCAAUUAACUUGACCCAGAAAAAUGGAACCCAAAGUGAACCGGAUCAAAGAAAUGCUAACUCCGGAAGUACUUCACUUAAACUUGACGGUGAAACCUCUGCCAAAACAGCCUAUUCCAGGCAGAACAUAGAGAAUUUUCUUCUUCUGGUUUGUUAUGAGGAUGCAUUGCACUUAUACUCUAUGAAAUCUCUGAAGGAGGUACUUUUGAUAAUACCCAUUUUCAUUUUCAACAUUUUUGUAUCUCCUAUUUCCGACAAGUGAAACUUUCUCAUUUUAGGGUGAUAGGAAUCCCAUUCACAAGGUGGACCUUUUGAAACAAUGUUGUUGGACUACAACCUUCAAGAAGGAUGAAAAAGAGUGUGGGCUCAUUCUCUUGUAUCAGACUGGAGUGAUUGAAAUAAGGUAAAGCACUCUUUGUACCUUUGCUUAAUUUGAUUGUGCAAAAUGGCAAAACGUGAUUGUAUCUGACCUUUAGUGGAAAUCGAUGUCCUUGUUAAUCUCACUACUAGUAAUUGAUAACAAGAAAUCAGUUUUGAAAUGGAUGCAAAUUGUUUGGCAGGUCUCUGUCAGAUCUUUAAGUGGUGGGAGAAAGCUCUUUAAUGUCAAUUCUGAGGUGGAACUUUAAGACUAACAUGGAUAAGACAAUAUGUUCAAGUGAUACCGCACAAAUAAUGCUGGUUUGUCCUUUUCUUUUCCUUCUUUGAAACUGAUUAGUUCUUUCAUUGUUUUCUAUAAUCAGGACCAGGGAAGAUCCUGAUUUAUGAUUGCCUGAAUUAUCUUCAUGAAUUUCAUAGAGCUCACAGUGCUUUCUUUCUGUGUCUUGCUUUUUUCAUGAAUUAAAUAAAUAAAAUGUCAUAUACCAAUAUUUGAACUCAAUAAAUUUGAAAAUUAGUAUGCCACUACUUGAAGGACUAUUCAUUUGAAACUUGAUGAGAUAUCUCAAUACUCUGCACUUUCUAUACUUGUGUUCUCUAAUUUGUCUUGACUUUUACACUUUUGGAUAUUGGAAAUGUUUUUCUCUCAUCUGCUCUUAAGAGUGGAAUGAAGUUUUUAGCCUCAAAAUCUACAUGAAAACCUGCUAAUAUGAUAUACCUUAUAAAUAUUUGGUGCUGGAGCCAUGUGGACCACUUGUAGUCUCAAGGCGGUUGUAUUGAUUAGAUUGAUUCUCACCUUCAUAUCUUUACAUGUGGUGAGGGUGGCCAGGUAAGUUUGGCUUGGGUGUAGAUCUUCCCCUUUUGGAUAAUGAAAAAACAUGAAUUGGGCUUCAUGUUAACUACAUGGCUGCAUGGAAACUUGAAUAUAGGAAAAUUUCCGGGAGAAAAUGUCUUUUUAGGUAGGUAACUGAAAUUUUAUUGCGAAAACCAACCCAGUUGUAGGAGUUUUCCUGUAUACAAGAAUCAAUGAGAAAAUGCUUCCCCGUUUAAUAAAUCUCACCAAAUUAGAGAAAAAACCUUGUGGAUGAAACUUCCCACUCUCCACACUUUUUAAAUAGAGCAAGGAGACAAACCAGAUCACACUGGUUGGCGCAGAAGUUUCUGUUUUUAAAACCAUUAUCCCUAUUGUUUUGUUUACAAUACAAUACCAUCUUGGAAUACCUCAUAGUAUUCUUCCACUAGUACAUUGAGCAAAAUUGUUCAUAGUUAUAAUUGGUAAAAUAAGGAAGACAGGAUAAUGUGGGAAACUGAUCGGUAUUUUCACAGUUUAUGCAUGCUGCCUUAUAAAAUUAAAAUAUUGGAACUUGAUGAAAUAGACAGGCUGGAGGGAGUAAUUCAUAUAUCAUUGUUGAUUAUUUCCAUCCUCACCUGUUUUUUCAAUGGAGUUCAGCAAACCUGUAUGAGUGAGUGAGUGAGUGAAUGAAAGCCAAUUGAGUUGGAUAACUACAAUCCACUAUGUACAAAAACACAAUUGUCAGUGCCCAUAUAGGUUUCAGGCUCUUGGUCUAAUUCUAAAUAUUUGUGAAACUUGAGCUUAAAUGAAAAUAAUUGAUGAAAUAUAAGGCUCAAAAUAAUUGAAACAGCUCCUGACAAAUAGGAUGAUGAAGGUGUGCAAAUUUAUGAAUGUUUUGCCAAACUUAUUCCUGAGACUGCAUGUAUCUUCUCAUGUAUUUGUAGGGUGUUUAGAUCUAAAUGUGCUCCAGAGUUUCAUUUCAUAUUUUUACAUUGGAAGUUCUAGAAUUUGUUUCCACAGAUUGAUAUAAUAGAUGACUGGUAAUAUAGAUUGCCCCUAGGACUUCCUUCCCAUGUUUGUCAUAAUGCUACAAACUCAUGUAUCAAGAUUGCAGUAGCAGAAAUCCUAGGUUGAGCAACAUAAUUUUUGAGUUCACUUUAGUGUAUCAGUAUUCAUUUUAACAUCAUCAAUUUGGAUAUUGUAGCUUGGCGAUAAUAACUAACUUGAUUGGCUGACAUUGUUAUAUUGUAGGUAAAUGCAUGUGAAUUUGCUUCUGUUUCUCUUCUGGGCACUGAAAAUAGCUUCAGGUUCUCUCUCUCUCUUCUCCCCCUGCAUCCACAUUUGCUAUGCAGUUAUAAGCCUUGAACUUUAAUCAUGAAGAUCCAUUUCUUUUUUCUAAAAGAAUUCUUUGCUAAUAUUAGGAUUCCAGAGUCAUUACCUUGCCUUCAUGAUAAAGUCCUUGCUGCUGCUGUUGAUGCCACUGUCAGCUUAUGUCCUACUCACAAGAAAACAGAGGUUGAAGUUUAUCUUUUGGGCUUCCCAAUCCUUAUCUUUCUUUUCACAUUGCGUCUGAAUAAUCCUUUAGUUUUGUGGCAACAGGGUGUUUCCUCUGGUAUUUUGGGGGGUUUCAUUAAGGGCCUGCAAAUGGGCAAAGUGCAGCACAGUGCAGAUCCUCCUGAAGUUUGUAAGGAUACCUUUGCGCAUUUAGAGAGCAUAUUUUCCUAUCCCCCAUUCUUAAAGCCUUCAAUGGACUUCUCAGAUGACCAGAAAGUUUCGGAUCUAAGC